rnacentral:rRNA from 1 species
AGAGUUUGAUCAUGGCUCAGGACGAACGCUGGCGGCGUGCCUAAUACAUGCAAGUCGAGCGAGCGGAACCAACAGAUUUACUUCGGUAAUGACGUUGGGAAAGCGAGCGGCGGAUGGGUGAGUAACACGUGGGGAACCUGCCCCUAAGUCUGGGAUACCAUUCGGAAACAGGUGCUAAUACCGGAUAAUAAAGCAGAUCGCAUGAUCAGCUUUUGAAAGGCGGCGUAAGCUGUCGCUAAGGGAUGGCCCCGCGGUGCAUUAGCUAGUUGGUAAGGUAACGGCUUACCAAGGCGACGGUGCAUAGCCGAGUUGAGAGACUGAUCGGCCACAUUGGGACUGAGACACGGCCCAAACUCCUACGGGAGGCAGCAGUAGGGAAUCUUCCACAAUGGACGCAAGUCUGAUGGAGCAACGCCGCGUGAGUGAAGAAGGUUUUCGGAUCGUAAAGCUCUGUUGUUGGUGAAGAAGGAUAGAGGUAGUAACUGGCCUUUAUUUGACGGUAAUCAACCAGAAAGUCACGGCUAACUACGUGCCAGCAGCCGCGGUAAUACGUAGGUGGCAAGCGUUGUCCGGAUUUAUUGGGCGUAAAGCGAGCGCAGGCGGAAAAAUAAGUCUAAUGUGAAAGCCCUCGGCUUAACCGAGGAACUGCAUCGGAAACUGUUUUUCUUGAGUGCAGAAGAGGAGAGUGGAACUCCAUGUGUAGCGGUGGAAUGCGUAGAUAUAUGGAAGAACACCAGUGGCGAAGGCGGCUCUCUGGUCUGCAACUGACGCUGAGGCUCGAAAGCAUGGGUAGCGAACAGGAUUAGAUACCCUGGUAGUCCAUGCCGUAAACGAUGAGUGCUAAGUGUUGGGAGGUUUCCGCCUCUCAGUGCUGCAGCUAACGCAUUAAGCACUCCGCCUGGGGAGUACGACCGCAAGGUUGAAACUCAAAGGAAUUGACGG